AUUAGAAUCUGCUACAUAAGCAAUUGGGCCCAUACCCCAAAAACGAUACAAGAUAUCUUCUAAUA
rnacentral:tRNA from 1 species